rnacentral:hammerhead_ribozyme from 1 species
GCACUGCUGAGUAGUCCCAUAAUAGGACGAAACGGUUGUCCAGUAC